UACGUAGGGUCCAAGCGUUAUCCGGAAUUACUGGGCGUAAAGCGUGUGUAGGCGGCGCGUUAAGUGCAACGCGAAAUCUUGUGGCUCAACCAUAUAGACUGUGUUGCAUACUGGCGUGCUCGAGGACGGCAGAGGCAAGUGGAAUUGGUAGUGUAGCAGUGAAAUGCGUAGAGAUCAUGAGGAAGACCAGUGGCGAAGGCGGGUCUCUGGACAGUUCCUGACACUGAGACACGAAGGCCAGGGGAGCAAACGGG
rnacentral:rRNA from 1 species